AUAACAGGGUGUUUGUAUUCCGAGUAAUGAGUAAUGAGUAAUGAGUAAUGAGUAAUGAAUUUUCCUACUUGCUUUGGAAAGAUAAACCAUGAAAACAUUGACAGUGAUUCCACACACUCUUUGCCGUAUAUCAGCGGCGGCGGAACAGAUUUCAUUCUGGGGGGGCUAAAUUUUUUUUUCGUGACCUACCACCCCCCUCCCCCCCCCGUCGCCAAAAAAAAACGGUCAGUGUACCAUUUUAGGGGUACAAAAAUUUUUCCGGACAUAUACAAGGAAAGGGA